ACGAAAACGACAUCCUGUAAAAACCAGUAAAAUUAUUACUGGAUGGUGCGUACGCAAACAGGCCUAAGGUCUCAUUGGGAGACACCAGGAUUGAGUUGUGUAUGUCAAUGCCUAAAUACCUUCGUUGACUUAUUGACCAGAACCAUUGGCACCUUACUUUACAGCAACUUUGCAGAAUCAAUUGGUCCCCACGAAUGUCGACAAAUUCAACUAUUCGGCAUUUAAAGAAAUGUCGUUACCAGCGGAUGAACAAAAAUUUUUUCAAAUUUAAAAAGAGUAAGGUAAGAGCGUAGCUGAUAAAAUUGAGUGAGACCGAGUCUUACAUACAAAACCUUUCAUUAUUGAAUCGUGGCCGAAGUGGAGCUGAGCGGACCUCGGAGCCAAAUAAAAUAUUUAUUUAUUUAUUUAUUUGUUACAGUCUUACGACUUAAUAAUAC